UGGAUUUAUUUUUAUGAAAUGUUUUUCAAUGUUAUUUCGUUAAAGUUUUGAAUAACGCAGAAUGCGAGAACAAGUUAUGUUUUCUUCAAAUAAAUUACAUUUUGUUGUUUUGAAAAAUGAUUCAGUGUUUUUGUUUAAAAUAUUUGAAGUAUUGUUAUUUAAAUUAUUAUCCGAAGAUGUAAGCUUCCGCUAAAACGUAUACACUUGUUACUAAACCACCGGUUAAGCUAAGUAAAGUAAGUAGCGUUCCG
rnacentral:lncRNA from 1 species